AGGGAAAGGUGAAAAGAACCCCGGGAGGGGAGUGAAAUAGAACCUGAAACCGCAUGCAUACAAACAGUAGGAGCCUUUACGGAGGUGACUGCGUACCUUUUGCAUAAUGGGUCAGCGACUUACAUUCUGUGGCGAGCUUAACCGAAUAGGGGAGGCGCAGCGAAAGCGAGUUCGAAAUGAGCGUCCAGUCGCAGGGUGUAGACCCGAAACCAGAUGAGCUAUCCAUGGCCAGGUUGAAGGUGUGGUAACACACACUGGAGGACCGAACCGACUAGUGUUGCAAAAUUAGCGGAUGAGCUGUGGAUAGGGGUGAAAGGCCAAACAAAUCUGGAGAUAGCUGGUUCUCCCCGAAAACUAUUGAGGUAGUGCCUCGUGUGUCGCUCCAGGGGGUAGAGCACUGUUUUGGCUAGGGGGACAUGGAGUCUUACCAAACCAAGGCAAACUCCGAAUACCUGGAAGCGUAAGCACGGGAGACAGAGCACCGGGUGCUAACGUCCGGACUCAAAAGGGAAACAACCCAGACCGCCGGCUAAGGUCCCAAAUAACAGCUAAGUGGAAAACGAAGUGGAAAGGCCGUGACAACCAGGAAGUUGGCUUAGAAGCAGCCAUCCUUCAAAGAAAGCGUAAUAGCUCACUGGUCGAGUCCUUCUGCGCGGAAGAUGUAACGGGGCUAAGCUGUUAACCGAAGCCGCGGAUGCGCUGGUUAUCCAGUGCGUGGUAGGGGAGCGUUCUGUAAGUCUGCGAAGGCGGUUCGAGAGGACUGCUGGAGAUAUCAGAAGUGCGAAUGCUGACAUGAGUAACGUUAAAGCAGGUGAAAAGCCUGCUCGCCGUAAGCCCAAGGAUUCCUGCUCUACGUUCAUCGGAGCAGGGUGAGUCGGCUCCUAAGGUCAGGCCGAAAGGCGUAGCCGAUGGGAAUCAGGUUAAUAUUCCUGAACCUGCGUCAGAUGCGAUGGGGGGACGGAGCAUGGAAGAUCAUCCGGGUGUUGGAAGUCCCGGUUGUUUAGCGUAGGAGGUCUGCAGGCAAAUCCGCAGACGCAUCUCCAAGGCAAAGACACGUGCCGCCACGGCGGCGAAGUGAUCGGAAGUGCUUCCAAGAAAAGCCUCUAAGCCCCAGUCUGACGCGGACCGUACCGCAAACCGACACUGGUGGGCGAGCUGAAUAUGCUCAGGCGCUUGAGAGAACUCGGGAGAAGGAACUCGGCAAAUUGACACCGUAACUUCGGAAGAAGGUGUGCCGUAGUACCGUGAGAGGAGAGACACCUUGAGCGGGAAACGGUCUCAGAGAAUAGGUGGCUGCGACUGUUUAUUAAAAACACAGCACUCUGCAAAGUCGAAAGACGACGUAUAGGGUGUGAUGCCUGCCCGGUGCUGGAAGAUUAAUUGAUGGGGUGAGAGCCCUUGAUCGAAGUCCCAGUAAACGGCGGCCGUAACUAUAACGGUCCUAAGGUAGCGAAAUUCCUUGUCGGGUAAGUUCCGACCUGCACGAAUGGCAUAACGAUGGCCACACUGUCUCCUCCCGAGACUCAGUGAAGUUGAAAUGUUUGUGAUGAUGCAAUCUACCCGCGGCUAGACGGAAAGACCCCAUGAACCUUUACUGCAGCUUUGCAUUGAACUGUGAACCGAUUUGUGUAGGAUAGGUGGGAGGCAGAGAAGAGGCCACGCCAGUGGCCUUGGAGCCGACCUUGAAAUACCACCCUGAUUUGUUUGCGGUUCUAACCACGGACAGUGAUCCUGUCUUGGGACCGUGCAUGGUAGGCAGUUUGACUGGGGCGGUCUCCUCCUAAAGGGUAACGGAGGAGUACGAAGGUACGCUAGGUACGGUCGGAAAUCGUGCUGAUAGUGCAAUGGCAAAAGCGUGCUUGACUGCGAGAGCAACAACUCGAGCAGAUGCGAAAGCAGGUCAUAGUGAUCCGGUGGCUCUGAAUGGAAGGGCCAUCGCUCAACGGAUAAAAGGUACUCUGGGGAUAACAGGCUGAUACCGCCCAAGAGUUCAUAUCGACGGCGGUGUUUGGCACCUCGAUGUCGGCUCAUCACAUCCUGGGGCUGAAGUAGGUCCCAAGG
rnacentral:rRNA from 1 species